UACGAAGGGUGCAAACGUUGCUCGGAAUUACUGGGCGUAAAGCGAGCGUAGUCGGUUAUUUAAGUCGGGUGUGAAAGCCCCGGGCUCAACCUGGGAAUUGCAUUCGAUACUGGAUGGCUUGAGGUUGGGAGAGGGAUGCGGAAUUCCAGGUGUAGCGGUGAAAUGCGUAGAUAUCUGGAGGAACACCGGUGGCGAAGGCGGCAUCCUGGACCAAUUCUGACACUGAGGAGCGAAAGCCAGGGGAGCAAACGGG
rnacentral:rRNA from 1 species